rnacentral:rRNA from 1 species
CCUACGGGAGGCAGCAGUAGGGAAUCUUCCGCAAUGGACGAAAGUCUGACGGAGCAACGCCGCGUGAGCGAUGAAGGCCUUCGGGUCGUAAAGCUCUGUUGUCAGGGAAGAACAAGUAUCGGAGUAACUGCCGGUACCUUGACGGUACCUGACCAGAAAGCCACGGCUAACUACGUGCCAGCAGCCGCGGUAAUACGUAGGUGGCAAGCGUUGUCCGGAAUUAUUGGGCGUAAAGCGCGCGCAGGCGGUUCCUUAAGUCUGAUGUGAAAGCCCCCGGCUCAACCGGGGAGGGUCAUUGGAAACUGGGGGACUUGAGUACAGAAGAGGAAAGCGGAAUUCCACGUGUAGCGGUGAAAUGCGUAGAGAUGUGGAGGAACACCAGUGGCGAAGGCGGCUUUCUGGUCUGUAACUGACGCUGAGGCGCGAAAGCGUGGGGAGCAAACAGGAUUAGAUACCCUGGUAGUCCACGCCGUAAACGAUGGGCACUAGGUGUUGGAGGUAUCGACCCCUCCAGUGCCGCAGCUAACGCAUUAAGUGCCCCGCCU